CUUAUUGCAACGAAAUAUUUCGUUGCAAUAGAUUCUACCAAGCAAAUUAACUAUUUCUGAAGCAGACGAACUGUAUGACUAACUCAAUUUUGCCCAUUGUUUUGAAAAGUACUGUCACUGGCAUCACCAUCUAGCGGAAUUCUGACAGGAAAAUAGUUUUUUUUUUUUCAAUAACACGUUUUGUGUAAAAAAUUUACAUGAUUUGGAUUCAAAAUUCAACAACAAUUACAAAAAAACAAUACAAUUUACAAAACAGUCGGACUUACUUCUUUUAUGGAGAAGUGAGAGGAUUUUAAGUUGGGUUUCAAAGUAGAUGGAGCCACUGCUGCAUAUUUUCAAGACAUGACAGAACCUGUUUCAUUUCUGGUUUAGCGUCCACGGAGAAUACCUGCGUCAUUAAGUUCUUGUUAAAAUUACACUCCUGAUGUCGUGUGGUUUUACCUGGAAUUUAGCGUCUCAGAACUGUGCUCGAUGUGCUGUGAUGGCCACAGGACCCUGUUUGUGACAGAAUGCAAUGCCACAGAUGUUUUGUUGCCACUGUAAAUAAAAAGAUCUUUAGUGUCACUCUUGUGUUGAUGAAUUGCUAGCUCACACGUAAGAAGAAAAAGGAAGUUCAAGAUUUUUGUCUUGUUAAUUGUGGUGAUUGAUGACUGUUUGUCACGUGAUGGAAAUUCAAUGAUAGAAAUACUUUUAAAAUGGAAACAACAACAAAAAUUCCUUUAGUCAUGAAGAUUCGUUUGGGAUUUCUUUCGACAACAAAGUCUUGCAGAAUGGUAAACAGCUGUGAAUGGUCACAUACUCAAAUGACGACGAGAUUAAGUGAGAGGUUUGUGAAAUAAGUUAUAUAAUGUUACUGUUAUUUUUUGUCAUAUUAUAAAAUGAAAUACAAAAAAGUUAAUAUA